CCUACGGGAGGCAGCAGUGAGGAAUAUUGGUCAAUGGACGAGAGUCUGAACCAGCCAAGUAGCGUGAAGGAUGACUGCCCUAUGGGUUGUAAACUUCUUUUAUAUGGGAAUAAAAUGUUCCACGUGUGGGAUUUUGUAUGUACCAUAUGAAUAAGGAUCGGCUAACUCCGUGCGAGCAGCCGCGGUAAUACGGAGGAUCCGAGCGUUUUCCGGCUUUAUUGGGUUUAAAGGGAGCGUAGGUGGAUUGUUAAGGCAGUUGGGAAAGUUGGCGGUCCAAACGUAACAUUGCAGUUGAAACUGGCAGUCGUGAGUACAGUAGAGGUGGGCGGAAUGCGUGGUGUAGCGGUGAAAUGCUUAGAUAUCACGAAGAACUCCGAUUGCGAAGGCAGCUCACUGGACUGCAACUGACACUGAGGCUCGAAAGUGUGGGUAUCAAACAGGAUUAGAUACCCCUGUAGUC
rnacentral:rRNA from 1 species